GAAAAUCAUUGUUUAUACUUCAGUUGCUUACUUUGAAAUUUAUAUAAGUUUUCGAAAUUCGUAUACAUAUUUAUGUAAUAUUGGUGGAAAAUCGAACGGCGGCGUUCAUUGAUCGUUUACAGCAUUGUUAAAAUCCUUUUUGUUGCCACCAAAUACCAGUUGGACCAAAACAACAGCUCCCGUUUUAUGCGGUUAGGCAUUUCUAAACUAAACAUCCUGGCGAAAAAGGAUUUUGUAUUGCUUCGCAAAUUUUGAUAUGGAUUGGUACUUUUUAAUUAAAAAAAAAAAAACAAAAACUAUAAACAAGUUCCCGAAGCCGGAAAGCUGGUGUUAAAGUGCAUGCUUCGUUGAUCGAUGAAUUUCAACCAACUGGCACUUAGUGCACUACCAAAAACAUUGAUUAAACACUAAGCGCCAGACAACAAGUGAUUUCAUUUCGCUCUCUCACACAAGGACAAAAAGCCCGAACAGCCCAAAAGCCAGCAACAUCAAACAUAUGCAAAUUUAUGUGCCAACCCAAAUACCCAUGAAUAGCUCAGCAGAAUCACUGUUGAGAAUCAACAACAAAAUACAAUAACAAACACCAUUCCUUAUACAUUCCUAUAUAAGGAUAUAAGUAUGUAUGCAUGCAUGUAUACAUGUGUAUAUGUAUGAUUGUGUGUGUGUUUGUGCGGGCAAAUUUACCCAUGAACGAAAACAAUUGCGUUGAAAAUAACAAAGAAAAUUAAAAUGAAAUGUUUUCGAGCAGGAGUAAAAGCCAGCUGGACUUGCGGCAAUGGACACUCGCCCACACCUUUUCCGAUAUCGAUGGUGUUGCAUAUAACACGAGUGCCUGUUGCAUUUAUCGCCAACGAAGGCUGCACAGCCAGAACUUUUGUCCUUAGUUGUGCACUUUUUGAUGAGACGAUUUAACAUUCAUCGCCAGCAGAAAAUCCCGUCAAUAGCAGUCGGACAAAAAGGAUGGAGUUUUAUCACUCGACUUUGUAGUUGUUUGUGUUUGCAAUUAAAUAAUAAAAUGGGGUGUGAAAUCAACAGGAAACCAACAAAGUGGCGCACCGCACAAAUUAGAAGGCGGUAGAGGAGAGCUAAACAAAACGGUGGAGCUGGUUGAUAGCAUGAAAUACAGACUAAUCUACUUUUUCAACGGCUGUUUUGCAUUUUUGUCAUACAAUUCCACUGCAGGGUAUAAUGUUAUCUGUGUCCAAUUACAUUCAUGUGCACCAUGUGUUCUACAAGCACAUAUAUAUAUAUGGA